UCUCGUACACAUGUGGAGCUGCUCAUUAGUGACCCUGGAACCAUAUUUAGUUUGGAUUAUGUUCAUUGUAGAGAAAGCUGCCUCACAGUUGUAUGUAGAGCCAAACAUGGUCAGGAUGUAUAGGGCUACUGUCCUCAGACCUGGGAAAGCUGUCUCAGGGACGCUGUCUUCAGAUUUGAGUGGAUUGGUCCGUAUUGGGCAGCUUCUGGGUCCGGGUCCGGACCACGGUCUGUCUGUUGGUGACCUAUGGUCUAAAAUGUAGGUCAUGCUAAUGUGGUCAUGUGGUGUUUCUCUCUCACAGCUGAUGGACAUGAACACACUAGAGGCCACAUCCUCCCUGGCACAAGUCCUUUUGGGCUUCACAAUGCUGGCCGAUAAUUGCGGCCACAUUGCUAGGGAGGCGAAUUGUGGCCACAGUGUGGCAGUCAUUACCCUGGCUUCUUUAUCAAUUGCUCUGGAGGUCGUCAUGAUAAUCUUCCUUGGCUUCAUGUUGUGGAAAACACCAAGAAGCCAAGGGAGGGUUAAAAUUAUGAACUGGGCCUUCUUGGGCUGCAUCAUUGCCCACGUUCUCUUCAGGGUGAUCAUCGCCGCCCUGGUCAGUGCACAACAUUGUCAGGUUCAAUAUGAGAAGAAUAGCAACACGUGUUUGGUUAUAUGUUAUAAAUGAGUUAAUGUCCUUAGCCAUGGUUUAAAUCAGACUUUAUACAUACAGAUACAAAUAUGAAUAUGUGGAGCAGUAAACAGCUACAGAUUCAGGUACCAACACAGACAUAAAUGAAGACAUGAGACACAGAAGACAUGUUUGUCAGAUUUACCAACACAAAAAGGACAGAUGACAAUGUGUUCCAGUCAGUUGUGUUCCAGUCUUUAAAUAAGCUUCAGACUUUUUCAAGGUCAAUUAUUUCUUUGUCCUUUUUGAGUUGGCAGAUUUUCCGUGUGCAACAAUGAACAAUUUAACUAUUAAAACUAUUAAAAUAAACAGAACACAAACAUGUCUUCUGUGUCUCAUGUCUUCAUUCAUUAUUAUUUAAUAAUAAUAAUAAUUAUGUGGUGUAGAACAGAAUGACGGACUGAGGCUGGAAUUCUACGGCGUGUUUCGGAUCGGUUCUUCUGUCACAAAGAUUUUAGCCAAUAAGUGUGUAGGAGGAGCAGGA